UACAGAGGGUGCAAACGUUGCUCGGAAUUAUUGGGCGUAAAGGGCGCGUAGGCGGCCUUGUAAGUCCUGUGUGAAAUCCCCCGGCUCAACUGGGGAACUGCACAGGAGACUGCUUGGCUUGAGUUCGGGAGAGGGAAGCGGAAUUCCGGGUGUAGCGGUGAAAUGCGUAGAUAUCCGGAGGAACACCGGUGGCGAAGGCGGCUUCCUGGACCGACACUGACGCUGAGGCGCGAAAGCCAGGGGAGCAAACGGG
rnacentral:rRNA from 1 species